UCUGAAUCUGCGAACGGCUCCGCAAACCAGUUGUAAGCAAUAGCAAGGAUGCUCGUCGAACCCGGGGCUCGCGCCCCGGCAAGUAGGCGGGCGACAAGGAUACCCCUGGUAAUCCUGAGGCUAAUACUUGAGCGUGCGACCUUGGCAGCCCUCGCGGCAGCCGGGGACCGUGCGAUCAUUCAAAGCGGUGGGAAACCAUCCGGGAAAGGACGCACAGUCAAACCGCGGCAAAAAAUGGUUCGGCGGAAUCCCUCGGCCUUCGCGGUCGGGGGAGAAGCCGUUUCUCGCGGGUCUUGCACUGCGCUUCUGACCUAUCAACUGUAUAGCAGUGUAAGGGACAUGCUAUGGU
rnacentral:rRNA from 1 species